rnacentral:rRNA from 1 species
UACAGAGGGUGCAAGCGUUAAUCGGAAUUACUGGGCGUAAAGCGUGCGUAGACGGUUAUGUAAGUCAGAUGUGAAAGCCCCGGGCUCAACCUGAGAAUUGCAUUUGAGACUGCAUAGCUAGGGUGCGGAAGAGGGAAGCGGAAUUUCCGGUGUAGCGGUGAAAUGCGUAGAUAUCGGAAGGAACACCAGUGGCGAAAGCGGCUUCCUGGUCCAGCACCGACGUUCAGGCACGAAAGCGUGGGGAGCAAACAGG